rnacentral:rRNA from 1 species
GGACCCGCACAAGCGGUGGAUGAUGUGGAUUAAUUCGAUGCAACGCGAAAAACCUUACCUACCCUUGACAUGUCCGGAACCCUGGUGAGAGCUGGGGGUGCCCGAAAGGGAAUCGGAACACAGGUGCUGCAUGGCUGUCGUCAGCUCGUGUCGUGAGAUGUUGGGUUAAGUCCCGCAACGAGCGCAACCCUUGUCAUUAAUUGCCAUCAUUUGGUUGGGCACUUUAAUGAGACUGCCGGUGACAAACCGGAGGAAGGUGGGGAUGACGUCAAGUCCUCAUGGCCCUUAUGGGUAGGGCUUCACACGUCAUACAAUGGUCGGUACAGAGGGUUGCCAAGCCGCGAGGUGGAGCCAAUCCCAGAAAGCCGAUCGUAGUCCGGAUCGGAGUCUGCAACUCGACUCCGUGAAGUCGGAAUCGCUAGUAAUCGCGGAUCAGCAUGUCGCGGUGAAUACGUUCCCGGGUCUU